CCUCAAACAUGCAAGUCUAGGGGGUGUAGCAAUACAUCACCGGCGGACGGGUGCGUAACACGUGGGAAUAUACCUUUUGGCUCGGAACAACGCAGGGAAACUUGCGCUAAUACCGAAUGUGCCCUUACGGGGAAAGAUUUAUCGCCAAAGGAUUAGCCCGCGUAGGAUUAGCUAGUUGGUGAGGUAAUGGCUCACCAAGGCUCCGAUCCUUAGCUGUUCUGAGAGGAAGAUCAGCCACACUGGGACUGAGACACGGCCCAGACUCCUACGGGAGGCAGCAGUUGGGAAUCUUGGACAAUGGGGGAAACCCUGAUCCAGCCAUGCCGCGUGAGUGAUGAAGGCCUUCGGGUUGUAAAACUCUUUCGACGGGGACGAUAAUGACGGUACCCGUAGAAGAAGCUCCGGCUAACUUCGU
rnacentral:rRNA from 1 species